AAGGAGAUGUCAAGAGGCAGCGGGGAGGAGGGAAUGGAGAAAAGAUACCUGUGCAGGUGUACAGAACCUGCUCAACCCAGCUUCAUUAGCCCCCGCUAGGUGCCCAGGAGCCCUGGAGAUAAUGAAGCUUCUGAGAUCCAAGCGAGAAGGUGAAUGUGCAGCUUCUGGUGCGGUGCCCAGCACGGAGUUGGUGGACAGUGACCUGGAGCUCCCCACUUGCUCUGUCUCCUGACUGAAGCCAUCCUCAUCUCUCUCCUGGACUGUGAAACCUGGCUUCCCACUGGUUUCCACCUCACCUCACCCCUCUCCAAAGAACCCAUUGUCCCCAGCUGCCAGAGGCUCUUUCUAAGCCCAGAGCCCUCCAUCGAGACAGGCCCUGUCUCAGAACUCCAGCUGACUUCCCACCAUGUUUGAGUCAUGUCCAGCCCCAUCCUCUACGGCCCUCCACCACCGUCCACCUCAAUUCUCCUGCCUCAUGCCCCGUCCUCAGGCUUCCUGUCCACCCACCGUAGACUGAGCCUACCUCGUCCACCGCCUCACCCUUCCCCACAUGCGCUGUGCAAACUGCUACCUCCUCUUCUUUGCUCCCUCUGCCUGGAAUGGAUGCUUGUUGAAAUUUCAGCUUUCUUCCCAGGUAUUCACCCCCGAUGACGUCACCUCUUUGAAGCCCUCCUUUGUGAUCCCAUGGAGCUUCACAUCUACCAUGUUUGGGACUCAGAUCUUUGCCUCAUCUGUCAGUGGUGUAGGAGGGUCUGUAGGUGCUUUCAAGGUGGAGUCCAGGUCCUAAGCAUCUCUGUCCCUCAAUACCUCUCUAGUUUCCAAGUCUUGGCACUGCAGAAGGAUGAUACCUGGUGCAUGGUCGGGGGGAGCGUCCUGCUGUUUCUAAAUCUCAUGACCAAGUCAACUGCCUGCUCCAGCUGUGGGAGAGAAUGGGCAGCUGCCCACCUGGCAGCCGUGUGACCGAUGGCAGGUCACUUUGCCUUCCGGGGCCUCAGUGUUCUCACCUAUACAAUGGGGAUGAGCAAAUAGGACCUACCUCCCAGGACACCUGGGAGGAUGAAAUGAGAUCACGUGUGUGAAGCUCUUAGCAUGGCGUGGGGGACACAGCAAGUGCAGGGGACGCAGCAACAGUGUGGCGGCUGCUACAUCACGGAGGCUGUAAGGCCAGACUCCUUGUCCCCAGUGCCCAGCUAGGUCCCUUGCCCCCCCGGCUCUGUUGUCUUUAGUGGCUCUUCCUCCUCACUCACUCCUCUGUGCAGUCACACAGCCCAACCCAGCUGCUGCACUCACCUGCUGCAUGACCCUGGGCAAGGUGCUUACUUUCCUUACGUCUGCAUUUCCUGAUUUAGAAAACAGGGUAAAGCUGCCCUGCCUGCAUGCUUCCAAGGCUCUGGCACACACACAAGGAUGUAGCCCAGCCCUUCCUCCAAGGAGUUCCAUGACAGGAAAGACAGAAGGGGAAAGAAAUACUUGCAAAUUCGGUGUGAGCUAUGACAGAGGUGCACGGACAUUCAGCAGGAGGCAGGCAAUGGCAUCACGGGCUCAGAGUACAGUGAGGGUGAAAGAAGAUGAUUCCACACAUAAUAGUUGCUCAGUAAACAUCUUUUCCCUUCUCCAGCCUUACUCUUUCCAUAUAGCCUAACUUUUUAGACUCAGCUGCUUUCCACCUCAGAACCCCAAUCUCUGUCCUUUCUGCUGAGCCUGCAAAAUCUGGAAGGAGGGAUAGAAGACGGGCCCCUUGGGGAGCCCCUCCUAUCAUCACCAACCUUAGUUAACAUUUGCUGUUUACUGUUUCCAGGCACUGGGCAGGUGUUCUGCAUACAUUAAAAUCUAAUUGAAUCCUCACAACAGCUCCACGGAACAGUUGUCAAGGCUGACCCAGAACCUAAGGGAGACAGACCAGAGGGAUAAAUCCAGAGAUAGAAAUGAGGUGUGGGGAGGUAAAAAGGAAGUGACCUGUCCCACAGUGAAUCUGCAGAAAAGCCAGUGAAGACCAGGUGGAUGAAAAUGAGGCUGGGGCCAUGCCCAUGGGGAGAUGUUGGACGAUGCUUGAGUGCAAGAUGGCAGCAGGCCGGGAGAGGCCCAGAAGAGAACUCACCACGCCGUGGGGGUGAGUAGCGGGAGGGACAGCAGCAUGUGCAUCCCCCAAAGGCCUCCAGUUUGUUUGUAAAGUCUCAGGCAGGAAUCUGCCCUUGUGAUCCUGAGGCCUCAUGUUUCAGGGCUCAAAGCUGGCCCUGGGGACAGGAGGUGGCAACUGGUGUCUGACCCCCUAAACCUGGUGCCUCCACUGAUCAACAGACCAGAUAAGGGACAGGUCACCCCCUGACCUUAGGGCCUUGAGGCCCAGGGCGGGGAGUGGGUGGUGGUGCUGCAGUUAGAGGAUCCCAUUCUCAGGACAGUAAACCCUCGAAAGAACUUCUCACCCACUAUUUUCCAAGCUUUAGUCACUUGCAUUCUGCUUUCAUAAUGUUGACCAUUUCCAAGUUCCCUUGUAUUUUUAAACUUAAAAUAAAG
rnacentral:lncRNA from 1 species